rnacentral:rRNA from 1 species
UACGGAGGGGGCUAGCGUUGUUCGGAUUUACUGGGCGUAAAGCGCACGUAGGCGGUUUGUUAAGUCAGGGGUGAAAUCCCAGAGCUCAACUCUGGAACUGCCUCUGAUACUGGCAAGCUAGAGUCCGGAAGAGGUAAGUGGAACUCCUAGUGUAGUGGUGGAAUUCGUAGAUAUUAGGAAGAACACCAGUGGCGAAGGUGGCUUACUGGUCCGGAACUGACGCUGGGGUGCGAAAGCGUGGGGAGCAAACAGG